CAGAAGUGUUUGUAUUACUUCAUUGGAAUUUGGGAAGUAUUAAUCAUUUAAUCUAUGGUCAUUGGAACUAAAGAUAUGUGAGAUAUGGAAACCUUCAUGUUGGACUGACGCUCCUUGUGUGUCUCCAUGUAUGACAAGAGCUGCACGAGGCACGAGAGCACAUCGUUUAUCUGUCACGUUGACGCUUUGCUGCGUAAAAUAAAGACAAAACGGAAAGAAUCAAACGAUCUCCGGUCAUUCGCGUAAGAAAAGGAAGCCGCUUUACAACUUGGACCCGCCGCCAGCAGCAGAGCCGCUAGCCGGAGAGAGACGUGCUGCUCGCCGUGUAGCUUCGCCAGUCGCCCUCUGAUGGUUUGUUGUCUUUCAAAAUGAAGAAACUCCAGACGGACAGAAGACAUCUCGGAUCGAAAAGUUAGUCAAAAGAAUUUAAUUAAAAAAAGUCACCACCUCAGCCGAGGAUUCUCAGACCACAGCGAGUCCUUUGACCAAGACGUAGUUAACCGUCUACCGGCUCCACCCACGAAUCCCCAACAAGGGGACACACGUACAUGUAAAGACAAUCAAGGUGCACUAACUAUGCUGUUGGUCUAACAGAGUUCUGUGGUGAUUGGGUUAGAGUCGGUGCGGGCGGCAGCGUCCACGCCUCUGAGCACAUGACGUCAGGCGCGUCCAAGGUAGCUGGGUAUUUGGAGUGUUCCAUAGAGAAAGUGGUGCAAUGAGGUAUGACACUGAAUGCUGCGUUGAAUGUAACUUGGAUUUCAUAGGUCUCUUACUCAAUAUCAAUACCGCUCCCUGAGCACCUCUGCACCAGCCUGUUGAACCACACGCUGUCGCGGGUCCCCCAGGAGCCUACUGGCCAUGGCCUUCAGGCCAAGGCUCCCACUGGAACCAGCACCAGCGGCAGAAACGUGGCUACUAAGAGGGCAGCGAGGCUCUGGUUUCCGGGUUCCCACUCUAUCGCACCAGCUCUGCAGUCCGUGAGUGGGCUCUACAUUGUAAGUAAUGGUGGGUUCUUCCAGGGGCAUAAGUGUGAGUACGCUGAGCCUGUACUUCCCCUCUGGCUAUCCCUAGUUGUGAUGAUGAGGCGGUGGUCCUUGUCCCCGCGCUGCUGUAGCUGGCUGGUGGACUGCGUGGUGAUGGAUUGUAAAGCUCCAGACAGUCACCUCAUGUGAUGAAUGUCACCACAAUUCCAGCAUGCGUACAAACUGUGGGUAUAGCCGGGGCGUUGUGGGGGAGGUCUGUUGAUUCAGCAUCCAGUCAUCGUCCUGAUAACGUCUUGGGCCUCCAGGGCGGCCAUAUCUGGAGUUCUGUCCGCCCUUCUGUCUACAACUCAAGGGUCCCCG
ensembl:lncRNA